rnacentral:tRNA from 1 species
GCUCCUAUAGUCUAGUGGCCAAGGAUGCCGCCCUCUCACGGCGGUGACCCGGGUUCAAAUCCCGGUGGGAGCG